rnacentral:miRNA from 1 species
GGCAUUACAUGAGAUAAGCUGUU